rnacentral:rRNA from 1 species
GCGAAUCCCAAAAAGACCGGUCUAAGUUCGGAUUGCAGGCUGCAACCCGCCUGCAUGAAGUCGGAAUCGCUAGUAAUCGCGAGUCAGCAUAUCGCGGUGAAUACGUUCCCGGGUCUUGUACACACCGCCCGUCACACCAUGGGAGUUGGCAACACCCGAAGUCGAUGAGCUAACCGCAAGGAGGCAGUCGCCUAAGGUGGGGUUGAUAACUGGGGUGAAGUCGUAACAAGGUAGC